AAAUGAAGGAAGCAUGGUAAUGUGUAGAGAAAUUGAAUUGGAUCUCUAAGCCUGCUUUCUCUGAGAGUUAUUUGGUUUUGAUUUGGGGGCAUGGUUCCGCAACAAAACA